UCGCGGCUUAUCACCGGCAGUCCCCUUAGAGUGCCCAACUGAAUGAUGGCAACUAAGGGCGAGGGUUGCGCUCGUUGCGGGACUUAACCCAACAUCUCACGACACGAGCUGACGACAGCCACGCAGCACCUGUGUCCACGCCCCUUGCGGGGAGGAUUCCAUCUCUGGAAGCCGUCGUGGCAUGUCAAGGGUAGGUAAGGUUUUUCGCGUUGCAUCGAAUUAAUCCACAUCAUCCACCGCUUGUGCGGGCCCCCGUCAAUUCCUUUGAGUUUCAGCCUUGCGACUGUACUCCCCAGGCGGCAUAUUUAACGCGUUAGCUCCGGCACGGAUCAACUGAAUGACCCACACCAAAUAUGCAUCGUUUAGGGCGUGGACUAC
rnacentral:misc_RNA from 1 species